GGAGAGGUUAUGGGUUCGAAUAACAUGGGAACACCUUUUAAUAUUUUCAUGUUUUAUUAAGAUUAUGGGCCAAAAAAUUUUUUUUUUGCUUCUGGGCCCGAAAUUGUCAGGCCCGGCCCUGACUGCAAUGAUGUGGCAUACAUGGUCUGCUUUAUUGAUAAAUUACUGAGGAACAUAAUAUCCUCUCUCUGCUGCAUGAAACCAGCUCUCUAUAGCACUAUGAUGCAGUGUCGGCUUGCAAGAACAGUGGACCCUAGACUCAUUUGAGUUUCAUUUUUCUACUUUCAUCUUAUAAAGGUUUAAGAAUCUUUUUAUAACAUUUUUUGUUGUUGAUUAAUCAAUUUAGUGUUUCAAAAGAAUUUUUUUUUUUUUACAGAAUAACCUAUAUUCAUAAAUUUUGUUUGAGUUUUUAAUAUUCAAUAGUCAAAAUUUUAGAAAUAUAUAAA
rnacentral:lncRNA from 1 species